ACUAACCACUAGGGGAGCUUAUGGAAGCUGAGAAAAGAGUGAACUUUGACCCUUUGAACCUGAUACGGAUCAUACCGUCGUAGGGAAGUGGCUUAAACCGACG
rnacentral:ncRNA from 2 species